rnacentral:lncRNA from 1 species
AUCAACACGAAAAGUCACUAGGAUGGCUACCCACUCAUCGGUGACUUGCUCAAAGUUACAAUGGUGUAGAUAGUUCUUUGACCUGUGGUGCCUCGACUGUUCACAGUGGAGUUAUCGUAGUUUAACUACACCAUAAUUUGAUUAUCUAGCCAUACAGAAUAUUGAGGUGUAUGUUAGCUACAGUAGGUCCAUUGUAGGAAUAGGGUGUGCACCA